GCAGGUGUGAAAACAAUGGAGUUACAUCUUUUAAGUACUGAAACAACAAAAAAUCAACCUUGAAUUCUAUACCCAGCCAAAAUAUCUCUUGAAAACAAAGGUGAGCCGGGUAUGGUGGCUCAUGCCUGUAAUCCCAGCACUUUGGGAGGCUGAGGUGGGCAGAUCACAAGGUCAGGAGUUUGAGACCAGCCUGAUCAACAUGGUGAAACCCUGUCUCUACUAAAAAUAUAAAAAAUUGAGUGAGACUCCAUCUCAAAAAAAAAAAAGAAAAGAAAGGUGAAAUAAAGACUAUUUCAGAAAUACAAAAGCUGAAAGAAUUCAUCACCAGCAGACUUAUACUAUAAGAAGUAUUAAGUCCUUCAGGGACAAGGAAAAAGGUACCAGAUAGAAGUCUGGAUCUACAAAAAAAAAUGAACAAAAAGCUUUUUUUUUUUGUUUGUUUUUUUUGUUAAACAGU
rnacentral:lncRNA from 1 species